rnacentral:misc_RNA from 1 species
GAUGAAGAACGCAGCGAAAUGCGAUAAGUAAUGUGAAUUGCAGAAUUCAGUGAAUCAUCGAAUCUUUGAACGCACAUUGCGCCCGCCAGUAUUCUGGCGGGCAUGCCUGUUCGAGCGUCAUUUCAACCCUCAAGACCCCUUCGGGGGACUUGGUGUUGGGGACCGGCACAGGGGCCUGCCUGCUUGUCUUGCAGCGCCCUCGCCGCCCCCGAAAUGAAUUGGCGGCCUCGUCGCGGCCUCCCCUGCGUAGUAGCACAAACCUCGCAACGGGAACGUGACGGCGGCCACUGCCGUAAAACAACCCAAUUUUAUUAGAGUUGACCUCGAAUCAGGUAGGAAUACCCGCUGAACUUAAGCAUAUCAAUAAGCGAAGGA